rnacentral:tRNA from 1 species
GGGCGUGUAACUCAGUUGGGAGAGUGCCAGCUUUGCAAGCUGGAUGUCGUCGGUUCGAUCCCGUCCACGUCCACCC